AUUACACCGAACUAAUCAUCUCCAGAUUAAGUUAUUUCUGACAGUUCUACAGUUAGAUUUGAUCCAGUUUAAAAGUAAAAGCUGGUUAUUUUGUCUGUGUUUGAGGAAUUAAAACUCCGUUCUGUUUUUAAACCCGAGAAUCCCUUCUAUUGUGUGCUGGAAGAUUGCUGGACUUGAAGCAACUCUAAAUGGUGGCCUGUUUGUCCAAAGCCCGUGGUGAUGGCAGUGCAUGGUGUGUGUGUGGGAGCAGGUCUGUUGGGAGUGUUAAGUACCAUCAUCUCAUACACUCAGCAAACAAUAUGGAUGGAACUUUCCAGAGUUGUGGUGUCACUUUCCUGCAAAGCUUUAACCAUCAGAGAGUUAUCUUUUACUGGGGCUUUUAGCUGCAGGAGACUGAAUUACUAACAGUUUUUUUUGUGGAUCUGAUUUCUUCUUUCGCAGGAGUGGAUCUAAUCACAGUCUGUGAUAUUCGUCUGUGCACACAGGAUGCCUGGUUUCAGGUGAAGGAGAACGAGAAACUCUGACACGAGUACAUCCUGACCAUUGGUACUGUGUACACAUCAACAUACACACACGUCUCCAUGCUGGACAUCUCAGGAGCUUUCACACACAGUGCUAGGAAUAUCCCGGAACAGAGAAACGCACCUCCUAAGUGAGCGAGUUAAGCGUCAACCAGUGAAAUUUGCUGUAGCGUGAACACUUCGCCUCUGUCAGCUUCACUCUCCGUCAGGUUCACUGUAAUUAGACAUAAAAUGUACAUAAAGUUUAUUUUUCAUACAGUUAGGAGUUAAUGUUUUUUUUUUUUUUUUAUUCUUCGAGGAACAGAAAUGAUCUUUCGAGGCAGCUUCUUCAUCACUACCUGCUCCGUUUGACUCAAAAAUGUAACGACCGGUUUCAAAAAGUCACGAUGUCUUCAGUUCAUGUGAUUUUACUGUUGAAUUUAAACAGGAAAUGUGAAAUAUUUUUUUCCUUUGUUUCCUCUACUGUCUUUUUGCUGUGAUCUUGAACACAGUUGUAAUUUUAUUAUUAUUUUUUAAAUAAAUAAAUGAUCAUUCUCUUCUUUCUCACUUUCCUUGUCCUAAUUGUCCUGUAUCUGUUAAAUCCGUUUCAUCUCUGGUCUUUCUGUCUGUAUGAACACUUGUAGAAAUGACAUGUAGUCCAUAUUUUUAAAUAUUUUUAUUCAUGAUUUUGAAUUUAAAUAAAGAUAUUCUUUAAUUCUG